rnacentral:rRNA from 1 species
AUUGAACGCUGGCGGCAUGCCUUACACAUGCAAGUCGAACGGCAGCACGGGGCAACCUGGUGGCGAGUGGCGAACGGGUGAGUAAUGCAUCGGAACGUACCUUUCAGUGGGGGAUAACGUAGCGAAAGUUACGCUAAUACCGCAUAUUCUGUGAGCAGGAAAGCAGGGGAUCGCAGGACCUUGCGCUGAUUGAGCGGCCGGUGUCAGAUUAGCUAGUUGGGGAGGUAAAGGCUUACCAAGGCGACGAUCUGUAGCGGGUCUGAGAGGAUGAUCCGCCACACUGGAACUGAGACACGGUCCAGACUCCUACGGGAGGCAGCAGUGGGGAAUUUUGGACAAUGGGGGCAACCCUGAUCCAGCCAUGCCGCGUGAGUGAAGAAGGCCUUCGGGUUGUAAAGCUCUUUCGGCCGGGGAGAAAUCGCACGGGCUAAUACCCUGUGUGGAUGACGGUACCGGAAUAAGAAGCACCGGCUAACUACGUGCCAGCCGCCGCGGUAAAAC